AGAACAACUUGCCCAACCCAUUGUGGGUUAUUUGGAGGAAGGAACAUCAAAGAUGGGCAUGAGUGCAAGUAGCCGGCAAUACUACCAGUGGCGUUUUGAAAAGCCCGCACCGUGGAUCUCACCUGAUCUGGACAUCUUUGAG